UAUACUCAAUUUUCACUUCAAAUUUUGUGCCCUUUGGAUUGAAUUUUGGGGGUUUGGGGAAGAUCAACACGGGUAUUCGCAGAAUCAAGUGUUUUGCUCUUCGUUAUCGUAACACACGCUACAUCACUUUCUCCAGAAGGGCUACUGGGGAUGUGAGGUUCAAAGUUCUUUAUUAGAUCUUCACUUUGUCAAGAACGAUUGGGGAAUUACUAAGUACCCGGUUACUCCAGGGCAUGAGGUUGUUGGUGUAGUGACAGAAGUAGGAAGCAAAGUGGAGAAAUUCAAAAUUGGGAAUAAAGUUGGGGUUGGGUGCUUGGUGGGAUCAUGUAGAUAAUGCCAAAGUUGUGCUUCUGACUAUGAAUAGUAUUUGAUAAAAUUACAACAUCAACAGAGAGGUUCAAUUGAUCGCAAAGGGGCGGUCUGGAGAAGAUCUAUAGUCGAAGGACUAAACG